CCCCUAGACGUUCUGGGCUGCACGCGCGCUACAAUAAUACGCACAGCGAGUAUCACCGAGCUCGAAAGGGCAAGGUAAACAAUAGAAAAGGUACUGUAAUGGUUAUAGAUCCUUGCAAUUAUUGAUCUUCAACGAGGAAUUCCUAGUAAGUAUGUGUCAUCAUCACGCACUGAUUACGUCCCUGCCCUUUGUACACACCGCCCGUCGCUCCUACCGAUUGGGUGAGCCGAUGAAACUCUCGGAUGUAGGCUAUUCAUAGCCCGCAGAAGAGAUUUGAAUCGUAGCGCUUAGAGGAAGGAGAAGUCGUAACA
rnacentral:rRNA from 1 species